GGGGAUUUAGCUUAGUGGCAUAAGUACCUGCCUUGUAAGCAGGUGUCGUAAGUUCGAUCCCCA
rnacentral:tRNA from 1 species